UGAUGAUGAUGAUGGUGAUGAUGAUGAUGAUGAUGGUGUUGAUGAUGACGACAGUUGGCAUCAUCAUCAUUAUCAUCAUCAUCAUCAUCAUGAAAA
rnacentral:pre_miRNA from 1 species